AGAGUUUGAUCAUGGCUCAGAUUGAACGCUGGCGGCAGGCCUAACACAUGCAAGUCGAACGGUAACAGGAAGCAGCUUGCUGCUUCGCUGACGAGUGGCGGACGGGUGAGUAAUGUCUGGGAAGCUGCCUGAUGGAGGGGGAUAACUACUGGAAACGGUAGCUAAUACCGCAUAAUGUCGCAAGACCAAAGAGGGGGACCUUCGGGCCUCUUGCCAUCGGAUGUGCCCAGAUGGGAUUAGCUUGUUGGUGGGGUAACGGCUCACCAAGGCGACGAUCCCUAGCUGGUCUGAGAGGAUGACCAGCCACACUGGAACUGAGACACGGUCCAGACUCCUACGGGAGGCAGCAGUGGGGAAUAUUGCACAAUGGGCGCAAGCCUGAUGCAGCCAUGCCGCGUGUAUGAAGAAGGCCUUCGGGUUGUAAAGUACUUUCAGCGGGGAGGAAGGGAGUAAAGUUAAUACCUUUGCUCAUUGACGUUACCCGCAGAAGAAGCACCGGCUAACUCCGUGCCAGCAGCCGCGGUAAUACGGAGGGUGCAAGCGUUAAUCGGAAUUACUGGGCGUAAAGCGCACGCAGGCGGUUUGUUAAGUCAGAUGUGAAAUCCCCGGGCUCAACCUGGGAACUGCAUCUGAUACUGGCAAGCUUGAGUCUCGUAGAGGGGGGUAGAAUUCCAGGUGUAGCGGUGAAAUGCGUAGAGAUCUGGAGGAAUACCGGUGGCGAAGGCGGCCCCCUGGACGAAGACUGACGCUCAGGUGCGAAAGCGUGGGGAGCAAACAGGAUUAGAUACCCUGGUAGUCCACGCCGUAAACGAUGUCGACUUGGAGGUUGUGCCCUUGAGGCGUGGCUUCCGGAGCUAACGCGUUAAGUCGACCGCCUGGGGAGUACGGCCGCAAGGUUAAAACUCAAAUGAAUUGACGGGGGCCCGCACAAGCGGUGGAGCAUGUGGUUUAAUUCGAUGCAACGCGAAGAACCUUACCUGGUCUUGACAUCCACGGAAGUUUUCAGAGAUGAGAAUGUGCCUUCGGGAACCGUGAGACAGGUGCUGCAUGGCUGUCGUCAGCUCGUGUUGUGAAAUGUUGGGUUAAGUCCCGCAACGAGCGCAACCCUUAUCCUUUGUUGCCAGCGGUCCGGCCGGGAACUCAAAGGAGACUGCCAGUGAUAAACUGGAGGAAGGUGGGGAUGACGUCAAGUCAUCAUGGCCCUUACGACCAGGGCUACACACGUGCUACAAUGGCGCACACAAAGAGAAGCGACCUCGCGAGAGCAAGCGGACCUCAUAAAGUGCGUCGUAGUCCGGAUUGGAGUCUGCAACUCGACUCCAUGAAGUCGGAAUCGCUAGUAAUCGUGGAUCAGAAUGCCACGGUGAAUACGUUCCCGGGCCUUGUACACACCGCCCGUCACACCAUGGGAGUGGGUUGCAAAAGAAGUAGGUAGCUUAACCUUCGGGAGGGCGCUUACCACUUUGUGAUUCAUGACUGGGGUGAAGUCGUAACAAGGUA
rnacentral:rRNA from 1 species